rnacentral:rRNA from 1 species
UACGUAGGGUGCAAGCGUUGUCCGGAAUUAUUGGGCGUAAAGAGCUCGUAGGCGGUCUGUCGCGUCGGCUGUGAAAACUCGGGGCUCAACUCCGAGCCUGCAGUCGAUACGGGCAGACUAGAGUGCUGUAGGGGAGACUGGAAUUCCUGGUGUAGCGGUGAAAUGCGCAGAUAUCAGGAGGAACACCGAUGGCGAAGGCAGGUCUCGUGGGCCGAUACUGACGCUGAGGAGCGAAAGCGUGGGGAGCGAACAGG